GCGUCUCCUGCGCAUGGUUAGGCGGAAAUUCAAAUUCAGGAUCUUCUUUCACCAAGAGCUUAACCACAUCUAGAUGUUGGCUCCUCACGGCCUUGUGCAGCGCUGUAUCUCCACUAGCAUCCGUCAUCGUCGUGAGUUUCUCCUUAGUAUUAUGAUCUUCGACACAUGCAAGUAGCACACGGACAACUUCAGUAUGCCCUUCGUUAGCUGCUAUGUGAAGAGGCGGUUUCAUUUUUCUUGUUUUGACAGCGUAACAAUGCCGGCGUAAUCUUAAGGACUUCUGCCACGAAAUGAGAGUGGCCAUAGAGGGCUGCAACAUGGACGACCGUGUUGCCCUUCGGAGUGACUUGGUAGCCGUUUUCUUCAUCCCUUUUCAAAUGAUCAACAAGUAUAAAAUCGCCAUCUCCGAUAUUGCCUCUCAUCGCGGCACUAUACAAGGUCGGUUCCAUUCCUUUUGAUUUGGUGUUUUAUCCAAGAUCUACCAAUGAUAAUCCUGUGAGUCCUUUGCUUUCUGUCUUUAAUGUGAACUGAUGGAUGGAGUAUAUAUAUACAUGUACUUGAUGAAGUCUAUUUACCUAAGCCUUUGCAUUAGAAUAUCUUAAUAUUACCUAAGUCUCUUUGUUUAGUCUUUAUAUUAGAAUAUCUGGAGAUACCAGACUGGUCAAUUUUACAUAUAUGGUGUGGCCAUAAGCUGAACUUGAGAGUCCUUUGCUUCUAUUUCCAAGGCUAGAACAGAUAGGUAUAAAUACCAACUUCGUUCACCACUCGGCCUCACCUUUGGAUGCUACUAGCUAAAAGAAGGGCAGUCGGUGUACUAAAGCUCCCGAUAUGCAUAAGGUCCGCCUCACCACAAAGGUAUAUUGUACACAGUCUUAACUUGCAUUUCUGCCAGAGGCUGUUUCCGAGGCUUGAACUCAUGACCUCCUGAUCACGUGACAACAACUUUACCAGUUGUCUAUCAUAAUUUUGGAUAAUAGCCCAAAGCAUUUAGUAAUUUCCAGCCCUCAACAAUUGCAUCUUUUUGCCGUCUUCAUAUUUUAUGAUGUCCCUACAUAAUUAAUGUACUUUAACACUAUAUACGUUUACUUUUUCAGUAUAGACAAAUUGCAAGCUAGUGUCAAUUAAUCAAUCAUGUUAUAGGGCUAUCAAUAUCACUUUCAUAACGUGAAACCAGCUGUGAAGGUCACUAUCAUGAAAAGCUAGCUGCCACUACUAAAUGUAUUUGAGCUGCAUGCCUUCAUAAUAUCUCUCUCUGACUAUUCUUUCAUCUCAUGGAGAGCGUUGGAGUAAUUGGUAAAAUUGUUGUCAAAUGAUGAGGAGGUCACGGAUAAUUAAUUAAUAAAUACCCAAUGAACUUGAAAGUCGUUUGCUUUCUCGAGGUGAAACAACAACACACUCAGUAUAUUCCCACCAAGUGGGGUCUUGAAAGGGUAAGUGUACGCAGUCCAUAUCACUACCUCAGGUGAGAUAAAGAGGUUGUUUUCGAUAUACUCCCGACUCAAGAACUUUCUCAAGGUGAAACAUUAUAUAGAAAUUAAAAGUUGACCCGGUCUUUCCUUAGUACCAUAUAUAUCAGGCUCAUCCAUGUAACAUGGUGCAUGUGGCCAAACUUGCCAUCACUAAGUCAAGUUGUACUAUUAUUAGGGAAAAGAACAUUCUAUGACACUUUUUAAAAUAAAUAGUCUAAGUUUGAAAAUUUUCGAAAAGUGAUCAGUCGGAUAUACUAUUUCCGCUUUAUAACCAUUUCCUAAUUUGGGUCAUUUUGGCUUACGUAGUCCAUAUAUAGUUUAUAUAUAAUGCUGAUACAGUCUAUAUACAAUACUGAUACAUUAUUCAACUUGGGCAAUUCGACCCUUUUAAAAAUAUUUCAUUUUUUUUGUUAUAAAAUUUUAACUGAUCAAAUAUUUUGUUUUUCUUUAUUGUUUAGAAAUAAUAAUUAAAUUAUAUAAAAAUGAUAUAAUUGUUAAAUAGAAUAUGUAUUUAUGUAAGAUAUAUAUAGAGAGAGAGAAAUUGUAUAGUUCUAUCAAAUAUGUAUAUGUAUAAAAUAUAUAGAAAAAAUAUAUAGAAAAUGUAUGAAAAUUAUAUAAUUAUUGUAUAAAACGUGUAAAAAAAAAUGUCCAGUUAUUGUACAAAUUGUGUAUCAAAACUGUAUAAUUUUCGUAUAGAAUAUUUAUAUGUAUAAGAUAUGUAUAGAAAGUGUAUAGAAGAUGUGUAGAAACAGUAUAGAAUAAGUCAGUAAAUUGAAAUGGCUAGAAAGUAGAAUUUAAAUUCCAUAACCAUUUUCAUGGACUUAUUAGUAGUAGUACAAUGAUUUUGAGAGUGGAUCAAUAAACCCUCAACAACCCAUUUUGAAAGUUUGACAGAAUUUAGUAAUCUCGAUUUGAAUUUUAUUUGUAUUUUUUAAAAAAAUAUAUUUUUAAUAUGUACAAAUUAUUAGUUUGGAAUUCAUUCACACAAAGAGGGUAGAAGCUAUUAUAUCUUUAAAGUUAUGUUAUGUUAUGCCCGAAGAUUAUUGAGUUCAAAUGAACACAAGAAAAAAAUUGCUCGGACUCAUUCACUUUCGUUGUCGCACCCUUGUCGAGACGACAUGGAUUAUAAUUCAUGCUGUCCAGUCAAGAACUCACGUUCAGAAGAUAAAGUUACGGAUAUGAGGAAGCUGAGAUGGGUGUUUGGGACUAAGAGAUAGGAUUAGAAAUGAAGAUAAUCGAGUAUGAGUGGCAUUGACGAAGAACAAGAUGCGACAAGUGAGACUGAGAUGGUCCAGGCAUGUAUAGAGGAGAUCAGGAGCCGAUGCACCGGUAUGGAGGUGCGAGAGAUUGACUUUGAAUGGUUUCAAGAGAGAUAGAGUAGACCGAAGAAGUAAUGGGGAGAGCGGAUUAGACAAGACUUGAUGAAACAUGUAUGCACUUAAACACUAGGAUUAAGAAGCUCAGGGACGGUCAAAAAUGAACUUGUUUAAUUUUUCAGACGUUAAUAAUUCCAAUAAUUUCGAGCUGGAUAUUUUCAAGAAAGUGUGUAUAAUGCUACGUAUAUUGCAACCAAGACCCAAAAAAAAAAAGUUUUUCUUGCGAAGAAGCUUUUGAUCCUUUUGCCUUUGAUGAAAAAGAAAAGGAAAGGUAUUUAAGUUGUUCUUUGCUUUAAUUGGAAGCAAGGAAUUUGUUCAACUUUUUCACAGGGCCAUCAACAACUGUUAACAGUAAAGUCUGUCUACCAAUGCUAGAACAGAUGACAAGAAAUCACCCUAGCGUUUAGCUUCUAGUGAAAAUUGAACCCAAGACGACUUCAUUGACCACUAGGCGAAACCUUUGGAUGCUCCUAUCUAGCUAGCAUCUUUGGAUUAAGAUUGUAAUUGUUUCUAUCAUCCAGAGAAAGCAGUUCUGUAUGCGAUGUUUGUUAUUUGCUAAAGAAAGGGAUAACUUCUUGUUUGAGUUUUAUGCUUUACAUCUCCACCAUUAUUUACUGUGAAGUAGAAAACCUUAUACUCCUUAUCAAGAGUUUAUGUUAUGUCGAAAAUAAUUUUUACGCUAUCAGGUUGUACGACAUGCACUAACAGUUAAUUCUCCUGGUCAAGCAUGGCAUGAUUAUAACGUGAAACAAUCAAUGUAAUUGACGACAGCAAUAUUAGAACAUAUAUGGGCGGAUUCACAACGUUGGUUUUAUGGAUUCACCAUCUGAAUCUAAUAGUUUUUGCCAUAACCUGUAUAUAUAUAUUAAGAAAUCACUGAAUAUCCAUUAAUAUUUUGACUUGAGAACCCAUAGUUUUUAAGUUACGUACAACGGAAUUUACUACCAGUAACCAAACACUGUAUCAGUUAUACAGAGACUAUAUAAUCAUUAACAGAUAAAAGGCAUGUAAAUUGCAAACACCAGAUUCUCGACAUGAAUAUGUAUAUAUGUGUGAUUUGUAAUAUUGGGCAUGUACUCGUACUUCCUCUUUACCUCAAAGUCACGUUUUCCAAAUCGGCCAAUGCUACACAAAUCCUCCAUCAAUUUCUCCUAUUUUCAUCAAUAGUACAGUUUAUAUUGAGUCUGUCGAAAAAUUUAACAUAGUAACUUGUCUAACUGACAACUAAUCUGUUCAUAGCUUAGGAGACAAUGAUAUCAUGUAAAGUAAAUUCAAGCGAAGGUGGAGCAAGAAAUAGAAUUAAAGUUUUACUUGAUGUUUCAACACCACAUAUCGUUCACAGAAAUCGUUCUUUCGCUUGACAUAAUCCUUGAACUAGCAUAUCAAUAUUUCACCAGCAUAUACUCAAGUGCAACCAGUAUUUGAAAAACAAAUGUGCGGCCACGUACCUUCUUUGUUGUCUCAUUGCAUGACAAUGCUAUAUCAAGUGGAGUCUAGUUUUCUUUGUUAAAUGUCAUCUUCUUUGCUCUAGGAUGGUUUAUUAAUUCACACACAUGGUUACCAGAGGCAGCAAGCAAAUGGAGAGGAGUGUUGCCGUUGCUAUCUGGCUCAUCAACAAGGCUGUCGCACUUUAUUGGAACUACUCUAUGACCAUUUUUUUUUUUAAUUUUUUUAGUGACAACAUUUAAUUUUUUUCUUCAAUUAUAUUAUAAUUGUCAAAAAACCGAGAAAACCGAAAAUACCCGACUAAAACAGAAAUAAAAAAAUCGAUUGUAUAUUGAUUUGAUUUGGUUUAUAGAUUUAGAAAACCGACAUUAUUGAUUUAGUUAUAUUUGAAUAAAAAACAGAACCAACCCGACCUAUGAUAAAGGAUGUAUAACUAAAAAAGCAUCUAAUGGACUAGAAAACCAUAACUUUCAUAGGUAAUUCAAGGUAUUGGGUAAAAACUGAAAUAUAUUUGCUAGCAAUAAGUACAAGUAGUAGCUAGCAUUCAUGUCUCUCUACUGGCUUACAUUCUUCAUCUUACUCUCACCAUAUAUAGCUACAACUAUAAAUAACAACCAAGAAGUACAAUAAAAUAGAGAGGCAACCUAGGAAACAGACAGUAACGGCAAGACCAAGUGAAUAUGAUAAAGUAGCAAACAUACCCGUUGCGAAUGCAAUUACAACUGCUAACAUUGACAAGCACUGAAAAAUACCUGCGAGAUCAUAAAGCUUCUGUACAAGUUUCUUCCUUUGAGGAGAUCUACUUGUAUCUGCCAUGAGGAAGUAGAUGAAUAUGGCAACAGCUGAGCAUGUGAAGGCAAUGGCAUCGGAAACAGCAAAUGCACGAAAUGUUGUUUUCCUUAUUAGAAUUGCCAUCCCUUGAUUAGGGCUAUCGGAGUCGCUCUCAAAACCUCCUGGCAAUGUGAUACCAGCGGCGAAAGUGACAGUCAUUAUCAAAGUGGCCACAACAAUAUGGAUUUGAGCUAUCUUCAUAAUACUUUCGAUUACUGUUUGAUCUGCCUUUUCAGCUUUAUCGUGAUCAUCAUCUCUCAGUUGCAUUUUGCCUCCUGUUCCUGUUUCAGCAUUUGGAUUGGGCAUGUACUCGUACUUCCGCUUUACCUCAAAGUCACGUUUUCCAAAUCGGCCAAUGCUACACAAAUCCUCCAUCAAUUUCUCCUAUUUUCAUCAAUAGUACAGUUUAGAUUGAGUCGGUCGCAAUCAGUAUUUGAAAAACAAAUGUGCGACCUCUUACCUUCUUUGUUGUCACUGUGCAUCACAAUGCUAUAUCAAGUGGGGUUUGAUUUUCUUUGUUAAAUGACAUCUUCUUUGCUCUAGGAUGGUUUAUUAAUUCAGGCACAUGGUUACCAGAGGCAGAAAGCAAAUGGAGAGGAGUGUUGCCGUCGCUAUCUGGCUCAUCAACAAGGCUGUCGCACUUAUCAGAGUCUAAUAAGAAGCGAACUACCUCGUCUUGAUUGUUCAAUACGGAAACAUGAAGAGCAUUUUGACUGUUGCUGUCAAGCAUAUCCCAACAAUCAAGGCGGUGAUUUAAUAGCUUAUAUAUCAUGUUUACGUCACCUUCACUGGCUGCAAUGUGAAUUGUUGUCGUCCAGUCAUUUUCACUGCCUGUCGGAAGGUACACUAAGGAUUUUUUCCACGCCAGCAUAUCAGAUACUAUGUCUUCCAAUCCUAAUUUAACAGCAUCGUGCAGUGAAUUCCAACCCCAUAAGUCAGGUUCCUCGCAUGAAGGCUUAUUCCAUCGCCAUAGUGAUCUAAUGCAAUCUGGAUGUAUCAACACGAUAAAUCCGUAAAUAAGGGGUUAGAGCUUCUCGCAAAUAUAGUUGCACAACAGAUUAUGGGAAAGUCCACUUUAGUUAGAUAUCGAUACAGCAAAUAACAAAAAUUGUGUACCUCUAUGUUCCUGAAUUACUGCUGCAUGCAGCUGCGUUCUAUUAGAUGGACCUGCAGCAUAAGUUGGAUCAUUGCAGGAUUCCAAGAUGUUAAUCAAGGCAUCAUGAAAACCAGAUUCAGCCGCCAGAUACAGUGGUGAAUCAAGGCAUCAUGAAAACCAGAUUCAGCCGCCAGAUACAGUGGUGUCUCCUGCACAUGGUUAGGAGGAUAUUCAAAAUCAGGAUCUUCUUUCACCAGGAGCUUAACCACAUCUAGAUGUUGGCUCCACACGGCCUUGUGCAGCGCUGUAUCACCACCAGCAUCUGUCAUCCUCAUGAGUUUCUCCUUGAUAUUAUGAUCUUCUGUAUGUGCAAGUAGCACACGUACUACUUCAGUGUGCCCUUCGUUAGCUGCUAUGUGAAGAGCGGUUUCAUUUUUCUUGUUUUGACAGCAUAAUAAUGCUGGAGUAAUCUUAAGGACUUCUGUCGCGAAAUGGAAGUGGCCAUAGAGGACUGCGACAUGAAGGUUUCGUUUUUCUUGUUUUGACAGCAUAACAUUGCCAGAGUAAUCUUAAGGACUUCUGCCGCGAAAUGGGAGUGGCCAUAGAGGGCUGUGACAUGAAGGACAGUGUUUCCCUUUGGAGUGACUUGGUAGCCGUUUUCUUCAUCCCUUUUCAGAUGAUCAGCAAGUAGAAAAUUGACAUCUCCGAUAUUGCCUCUCAUCGCAGCAGUGUACAAGAUUGGAUCCAUUCCUUUUGAUAAUCCUGUGAGUCCUUUGCUUUCCC
rnacentral:lncRNA from 1 species